GACGAACGCUGGCGGCGUGCUUAACACAUGCAAGUCGAACGGAAAGGCCCUGCUUUUGUGGGGUGCUCGAGUGGCGAACGGGUGAGUAACACGUGAGUAACCUGCCCUUGACUUUGGGAUAACUUCAGGAAACUGGGGCUAAUACCGGAUAGGAGCUCCUGCUGCAUGGGGGGGGUUGGAAAGUUUCGGCGGUUGGGGAUGGACUCGCGGCUUAUCCGCUUGUUGGUGGGGUAGUGGCUUACCAAGGCUUUGACGGGUAGCCGGCCUGAGAGGGUGACCGGCCACAUUGGGCCUGAGAUACGGCCCAGACUCCUACGGGCGGCAGCAGUGGGAAAUAUUGCACAAUGGGCGGGAGCCUGAUGCAGCAACGCCGCGUGCGGGAUGACGGCCUUCGGGUUGUAAACCGCUUUCGCCUGUGACGAAGCGUGAGUGACGGUAAUGGGUAAAGAAGCACCGGCUAACUACGUG
rnacentral:rRNA from 1 species